UCGCUCCUCUCCCCCCCGCCCCGCCUCCGCCUCCGCCGCGCGCCGCCCGGCGCCUGACUCCGUCUGGCGUGCGCGCGCGGGGAGGGGGGCGGGGCCGCGCCCGGUGACGCUCCUGCCUCUGCGGCGGCCGCCGGCGCGGCGCAGCCCGGCCCGGCCCCGCCCUCCGUGCCGUGGGCCGCGCGCGCGCGCGCCGCCGGCUCUGCGCGCGGGGGCGGCGCCAGGCGGCACCAGGGCUCCCCCCUCGCCCGCCCCGCCCUCCACUCCCCACUCGCUCCUCCAGCGGGCAGCGGAGCUCGCCCCGCCGACGCCGACGCAGUGGUCUAGGUUAAAAGGCGUUGCCGGUAACUACAGCUUGUGCUUCCCUGCAACAAAAGGAAGAAGUACAAUGUAUGCCUAUUGAGUUCUCUAAAUAAAAGAGCCUUUCGACGCUCACGCCUUUGGUUAGGUUCCAUUUGGCUGGCGUAUUGAUGCAGUCUACCUGUGGGGAGAGAGAACGCUUGCCUGUAUUUGUGAAGAGGAGACAGAGAAUUUGGUGAUUACAGACCUCCAUGUUUAGAAAUUUAAUCUAAGAGAAGACAUGACUCUUACACUUUGUGUUAAGGCAACACUUCAACACUGUCAACCUCAGAAAGCUAAGUUCCCUCAGUGAUUAGAAUAGACUGUGAUAGGGCACCAGCCACGUACUGAACUUGAGGAAGCAGAAACACUAUUCUAGACUGUCAUGUAAAUAUGUAUAUUACCAAAAUUACAUCACAGUGUAACUUUAGUCAAACUAUGAAAACAAGCUAGCUGCUUGUGUUAACCUAGGUGCUGUGCUUGAGUUUGCUGCUUUUCCCACUGAUCUCUGGAUCAGUCCAGAUAAACCAUUGCAAGUGUCUAGAAUUCUUCCAAAUGUCCUGUAACAGUCAUCACAUAACUUAUAAAAAGGGAGGAAUCUUCAACAGGUGCUAAAUUAUGGUUGAGGAACUUUGACACUUGCAUUGUUUUUCCACAGUGUUUAUAGACUGGAGGUGCUGCAGUUCAGCUUUCCCUAUGGUCAGCUCUGUGUUUUUCUGGUCUGUCUUUAGUGCCAGCAAGCUUGUUUAGGUAGCUAAUCUGUCCAAAAACCAGUAUAGGUUAAUUUUUGGCUAGAUCAACUUCCAAACUGCUUUGCUACCUAGUUGUUGCAAACACCAGUGCUACUGGAAGGAAGGAUAUGGCAGUAUCAGUCAGACUGUUGCAGGUUCAGUUUAUAUCAGCCUUGCAGACAUACAUGAUUGGGCUCAAGUGUGUGUUUUGUCAGCUCUUUCUGUGGACAAUUAUGUAGCUGCUUCAUUUUCUUCUCAGUACACUGCAAGGUUUAAAAUCUUAAGACCUUGAUUUUGUUCCAGACUAUUUCUGCUAUUCAGUUUGUCAGGGUUUUCUUGCGCUGUUCCAUAUGGAUUUCAAGAAAUUUCUUUAUGGAAGUGCCUCCGCAGAAGUCAUCUUGUGGGAUGCCAAAGAGGCUUUUUGGAAACUAAAGGCUGAAAUGAUGACUUAAAACAUAUGGAAUACAUAUCUAGUCUCAAUUCAGAAGCUGCUGCAUAGUUCAUGGCUAUGCCCAGAAGCUGGCACUAAGGCCCUGUGGAGCCUUGGGGAGACUGCUGGAAGGCUGUGUACUUGUUUACUGUUUGCUAGUGGUUUAAUGAUUACUUGUUGGAGGGAUCGCAAUUCUUGUGAUGAUGUCUUAAGAGUACAGAGCUGCGGGUGUUUGGGACCACUGUUCUUUGUAGCAGCGUGAUGUAAUUUAUAGGAUGGAUGGGGCCUCAGUUACUUGGUGAAGAGUUCACUGGUUGACUCUUCCAGUUUCAGUGCCUGGAUAUAGUUACAGUUUGAAGUACCUGCCUCAAGAAGCCAGGACAUGUAGGUCUUUUGCCUGAGGAGAUUUGCUGCUGCUGAAAGAUAGAGCUUAAGUCAGUUUUCUACUGUUUACUUUUCUUAGUAAAUAUGUAGUCACCUUAGUAAGUUUGUUUUGUGGGUGUGGGAGAGACAAUUACCUUUUCUGGUGUGCACUUAGCUUUGGAAAGAAGCGUUCUUACCAAACCUCAGAUGUGGUUUAACUGCAUGUUAAAGUCAUGGGAAGCUAUGAAUCCUAAUUCCCAGUUAAACAUGUUUAUGUCAAAGGAUUAUUUUCAGGAGAAAGGAAAGGACUUAUUGUGAAAGCAUUUCUAACUUGUUCUGAGGUUGAGGUUCAGGUGGCCUGUUUCAUUGUCUAAUGAGACUGGUCAUUUCUAAGGUAGGUUUGAAUAUUUGGGUUCAGUUUCCUCCUUUA